UACGAAGGGGGCUAGCGUUGCUCGGAAUCACUGGGCGUAAAGGGUGCGUAGGCGGGUCUUAAGUCAGGGGUGAAAUCCUGGAGCUCAACUCCAGAACUGCCUUUGAUACUGAAGAUCUUGGAGUUCGGGAGAGGUGAGUGGAACUGGCGAGUGUAGAGGUGAAAUUCGUAGAUAUUCGCAAGAACACCAGUGGCGAAGGCGGCUCACUGGCCCGAUACUGACGCUGAGGCACGAAAAGCGUGGGGAGCAAACAGGG
rnacentral:rRNA from 1 species